GAGCCAACUGAGCUGCACACACAUCACCAAGGAGAGGCUCAGGUUUCCUGUGAGUGGACCUGGAGUUGGAGUGUCCCAGCAACUGGGGACACUCCAGGUCCACUCCAGGUCCACUCAGAGAAAACCUGCAACUGUGAGAAACAGAGAGCCCGAGUUCCUCCUCCAAGGCAGUGUGUAAUCAGCUCAGCUGGCUCCAGUGGCACAGCAGCCUGAGGUCCUCCUCCAGUAGGGUGUGUGUGUGUGUGUGUGUGUGUGUGUGCAGCCCAGUAAGCUCCAGUGGAACAGCAUCCUGAGCUCCCCCAGGUGUGUGUGUGUGUGUGUGUGUGUGUGCAGCUCAGUUUGCUCUAGUGUAACAGCAGCCUGAGCUCCCCCAGGUGUGUGUGUGUGUGUGUGUGUGUGUGUGCGUGCAGCUCAGCUGGCUCCAGUGGAACAGCAGCCUGAGCUCCCCCAGGUGUGUGUGUGUGUGCGUGUGUGUGUGCAGCUCAGCUGGCUCCAGUGGAACAGCAUCCUGAGCUCCCCCUCCAGGGGUGUGUGUGUGCCGCAGUCUGUCUGGGUAGAAAUCACGAGCCACUGAAGCAGGAACAAACUUUAUUUCUGAACUCCACCAGCACACUCCACACACGCUCCCCGGGAACCCUCUUGAAUGCCACAUGGCUCUUCCAGGAACCAGCAGCCGGAAAUAUACCUCCUCUGGCACUUUCCCAACCAAUGGGAACUCUCCAGGAAUCCCCACGAGAGCUCAAUUGGAACUCAACGGGAACUCCGCGAGAACUCGCUGGCGUCACCUCUCAACCACUACUUCUGGCAAAAAUGCCAUGCGUCAUUUCGACUCGGCUGUGGCCCUCAACAUCUCCCCCCUUCUGUUUAAUUAAACAAUAAGCACAGCCAUACUUGUGGAUAGGCCUUUGCACCAGUGUGGGGGGGGUGAGGUUCUUUGCCUCACCUCUGUUGGCCCCCAAAUUUGGCCUUUGCACCAGUGGGGGGAUGAGGUUCUUUGCCUCACCUCUGUUGGCCCCCAAAUUUUAGACCAUUACUAGCAGAAGGGAGGAGGAUGCAGAAAUGCCACGACACCAAGCCAAAUGACAGCUGUUUUUGGAAAAAUUGUACCACCGAUGACACCAUCUGCAAAGAUACUCCAGCACUACCCCAAUUUGCUGCAUCAACAGAUAGACCACAAUGCAUACAAGUGAUACAUAGUCCAGGCAAGUUCUGCAAGCAGUUCAAAGCGGAGGAAUCUAUCAAUAUGUCCAUUUCCUCCCAAAGUAAAUCGACUCAUUGAUUGAGCAUCACUUGUUGAGUUAUUAUUCAUUGAUGCAUCAGUUUAUACAGUUUGUUGUGAUAACUAUCAUAGAAGUUAUAGUUUGGUUUUAUCUUUGUCUUCACCGGCACUGGGAUGAAGAUAGGAAUUCUGGCAACCAUGGCUAAAAAAAAAUUAUGUAACAUUCCAACAGGUACUAAGAAAACAAUUUUCUGAACAAUUUACAUUAUCCUGAACAGAAUUAUUAAAUAUAAUGAAAAGGAAAGGUGAAAGUAAACAGACAGAUCUGUUAACCUCCUUUUUGUUCACAUAUUAAAACAAUCCUCAACAGCUGUUUACCCAAUUUAAAU
rnacentral:lncRNA from 1 species